rnacentral:lncRNA from 1 species
GCACGCCCGGCGCUACCCCAAACCUGCCCCACGGCGAGCUGAGUCCACCGGCACCAGCCCACGCCUCCCGUCCACCCUGAGGGUCAUGGAGCAGCAAGACUCGCGGGCGCCCAGGACUCCAACAUCAUGAGGGAGAUUGGUGUCAGAGCGCUCAGGGCAACCUGUGUAAACACAGAGAAAAGUGUUCCUGAAAAAUCCCAUACAGAAGUGAGGACUUCACCAUCUACCAUGGUUUCCAUCAAUAAGGUCUUGCAAAAUUUGAAUAUGGAAGCAUCAUGUUACCUGAAAGGAAAGCAAACCUGUCACCCCACACACAGAAGAGUAUGUGUUGAAACAUCCAAAAAAUCUGGCUGUGACAUGGAGAAAGGAAAGGAAAGGGAAAAAGAAGCUAGGUAAAAUGCAGCAUGAAGGAUGCUUCUGAGCCAUGAUCACAAUCCACAGUCACUUACUCAUAGGGUGACCAGAAAGUUCGCCUUCCAAACAGAAUACAUCUGAAAGUAGAUGCAAGUAGCCUUGUAGAUUAGGAAUUGGCCUUGUUUGUCCUCCAAAUCUGAAAUGUACAAUAGUAGUUGAGCUGUUCAGGAAAUGCGUGUUGAUUGGUUGAUCCCAAGAUUGGAACCUAAGCACUUAAAGCUUACGAAGCACGUACUGUGGGCCAACACGACGAGGAAUGCUCUUGUUAUGUCACAUCACUUCAUCCAGGGAUGAAAAGCAGAUUAGAAAGGGAAAACGUUUAGUUUGCUUAGUCACACAUUCAUAUAUAUUGUAGUAGUACACUUUAUUAUCAUUGUAUAAUUGCAUUUUUACUAAUUCCAUAAAUACAGGAAUGCUAUUAUUAAUUUUAUACAUGUAAUUAUACUUAUUAUAA